rnacentral:rRNA from 1 species
UGGGUAACCUGCCUCAAAGAGGGGAAUAGCCUCCCCGAAAGGGGAGAUUAAUACCGCAUAAUAUGUUUAGGUCGCAUGACUUUAACAUCAAAGGAUUUUCUUUUAGAAAUUCCACUUUGAGAUGGACCCGCGGCGCAUUAGCUAGUUGGUGAGGUAACGGCUCACCAAGGCAACGAUGCGUAGCCGACCUGAGAGGGUGAUCGGCCACAUUGGAGCUGAGACACGGCCCAGACCUCUACGGGA